AGAAACAACUGACUGACCCCCUGGGCUGUCCAAAAGCCAAGUUUUAAGCACUAUUGGUACAUGUGAGACACAGGAAGUGACAUAAAGAAUUGCCUUUAUAUUUUGCAUCACUUCCUGUGAGAGGGCUGGGUGGUGAAACUUGACUGUGAAGGAGCUUGAGUGUGAGACCUUAGACUGCUUCCCUUAGAUUGUCAUGUGGGUAUACACAUCCCUAUAUGUCUAUUCUGCAUUGGAUCCAAUAUAAUUUGAAUUAACUUGAUCAAACAAAACUCUUUCUUCUAAAGUCAUUGAAGUCCAGUGUCAAGAAAAAAGCCAGGAUGACUAGAGAUGGCUAAGGAUGCAGUGGAUGAUCUUGGCUUCUUUGAUGUGUAACCAAGUCUUCAUAUGCUUGUAGCAGAACUAGUUCACUGAAGGACUUGAGUAUUGUUGGUUAACCUCAACCUGGUUUAUCCUGUCUUCUGAAAUGUUUUUUUACUGGGAUGUGGCCACUACAAGAUGCUACUGCUUCUUCAACCCACAGGAAAAGGAGAUUAAUCUUAGAGGAGAGCAAGCUAAAGGAAUCUAGAAGUCAGGGUAUAGAGUGA
rnacentral:lncRNA from 1 species